AACCUGAUGUCAGUUCCCCCUACAAAUGGUAGCCUCCGUAUCUCCCUGAACGGCCGAGAUUGCUGCCAUGUCCUGCCUGCUGUCUGUCAGAUACAGUGGGAUGUCUCUCCAGGACCUUUUGCUGCAGACUUUCAGAAUGCGCUGCUGCUCCUUCCGAGACCUUUCAGUGAUGGCAGAUUUCUGCAUUUUUUCCUACUGCUCCAGGGAAACUUGUAUGUCAAAUUCUUCAACUCUCACAAUUCUGCUGCUGCUGCUGCUAAGUCACUUCA